rnacentral:tRNA from 1 species
AAAGGGAGACCUAAUUCGGGUAGGAGACGAAAAAAAAGUAGUCCCUACCAAGAAUCAAUCCCAAAAGGUCGGAGCGAGGCGAAAUUGGCUUUCAAACUAGGUUCUGGGUUCACACAAGACCUGAAUCAGGAACAAGGGCUAUUAGCUCAGGUGGUUAGAGCGCACCCCUGAUAAGGGUGAGGUCCCUGGUUCGAGUCCAGGAUGGCCCACCUGCACAGGUGGCAAAAACAAAAAAGCUCCGAAUCAGCACCUUAUCUUACUUAUAUAGUAAGAGAGAAUGCUGGCUCUGAGUUCAGAGUCCAGAGGAACCUUGAAAACUGCAUAGAGCUAGGUGAAAAAGCCAAAAAAGAAGACCGUCA